rnacentral:rRNA from 1 species
UACGUAGGGGGCAAGCGUUGUUCGGAUUUACUGGGCGUAAAGGGCGCGUAGGCGGCGCGUAAAGUCGGACAUGAAAUCAUUGGGCUUAACCUGAUGGCUGUGCCCGAUACUUACGUGCUUGGAGUGCGGGAGAGGCAAUCGGAAUUCUCGGUGUAGCGGUGAAAUGCGUAGAUAUCGAGAGGAACUCCGGUGACGAAGGUGGGUUGCUGGGCCGACCCUGACGCUGAGGCGCGAAAGCUAGGGGAGCAAACGGG